AUGCACGCUGGCGGCGUGCCUAAUCCCUGCCAGUCGAGCGCACAGAUGAGGAGCUUGCUCCUCUGACGUUAGCGGCGGACGGGUGAGUAACACGUGGAUAACCUACCUAUAAGACUGGGAUAACUUCGGGAAACCGGAGCUAAUACCGGAUAAUAUAUUGAACCGCAUGGCUCAAUAGUGAAAGACGGUUUUGCUGUCACUUAUAGAUGGAUCCGCGCCGCAUUAGCUAGUUGGUAAGGUAACGGCUUACCAAGGCGACGAUGCGUAGCCGACCUGAGAGGGUGAUCGGCCACACUGGAACUGAGACACGGUCCAGACUCCUACGGGAGGCAGCAGUAGGGAAUCUUCCGCAAUGGGCGAAAGCCUGACGGAGCAACGCCGCGUGAGUGAUGAAGGUCUUCGGAUCGUAAAACUCUGUUAUUAGGGAAGAACAAAUGUGUAAGUAACUAUGCACGUCUUGACGGUACCUAAUCAGAAAGCCACGGCUAACUACGUG
rnacentral:rRNA from 1 species